UUGCCGUUCCGUGGUCAUUUGAGCCGGCCGGCUUGCAGCCACGUUAAACAACUCGCUAAACAGGCCGGGGACAGAUGUGA
rfam:Rhizobiales bacterium 62-47 SCNpilot_cont_300_bf_scaffold_1003, whole genome shotgun sequence.